rnacentral:rRNA from 1 species
GGGUUGUGAGGUUAAGCGACUAAGCGUACACGGUGGAUGCCCAGGCAGUCAGAGGCGAUGAAGGGCGUGCUAAUCUGCGAUAAGCGUCGGUAAGGUGAUAUGAACCGCAACAACCGACGAUACCCGAAUGGGGAAACCCAGUGCAAUCCGUUGCACUAUCAUGUCAUGAAUACAUAGUGGCAUGAGGCGAACCGGGGGAACUGAAACAUCUAAGUACCCCGAGGAAAAGAAAUCAACCGAGAUUCCCCCAGUAGCGGCGAGCGAACGGGGAACAGCCCAGAACCUGAAUCAGUUUGUGCUUUAGUGGAAGCGUCUGGAAAGUCGCGCAGUAAAGGGUGACAGCCCCGUACACAAAAAGGCACUUAUUGUGAGUUCGAUGAGUAGGGCGGGACACGUGACAUCCUGUCUGAAUAUGGGGGGACCAUCCUCCAAGGCUAAAUACUCCUGACUGACCGAUAGUGAACCAGUACCGUGAGGGAAAGGCGAAAAGAACCCCGGCGAGGGGAGUGAAACAGAACCUGAAACCGUGUACGUACAAGCAGUGGGAGCACCUUCGUGGUGUGACUGCGUACCUUUUGUAUAAUGGGUCAGCGACUUAUAUUCUGUAGCAAGGUUAACCGUAUAGGGGAGCCGCAGGGAAACCGAGUCUUAACCGGGCGUUAAGUUGCAGGGUAUAGACCCGAAACCCGGUGAUCUAGCCAUGGGCAGGUUGAAGGUUGGGUAACACUAACUGGAGGACCGAACCGACUAAUGUUGAAAAAUUAGCGGAUGACUUGUGGCUGGGGGUGAAAGGCCAAUCAAACCGGGAGAUAGCUGGUUCUCCCCGAAAGCUAUUUAGGUAGCGCCUCGUGAACUCAUCUCCGGGGGUAGAGCACUGUUUCGGCCAGGGGGCCAUCCCGGCUUACCGAUCCGAUGCAAACUGCGAAUACCGGAGAAUGUUAUCACGGGAGACACACGGCGGGUGCUAACGUCCGUCGUGAAGAGGGAAACAACCCAGACCGCCAGCUAAGGUCCCAAAGUCAUGGUUAAGUGGGAAACGAUGUGGGAAGGCCCAGACAGCCAGGAUGUUGGCUUAGAAGCAGCCAUCAUUUAAAGAAAGCGUAAUAGCUCACUGGUCGAGUCGGCCUGCGCGGAAGAUGUAACGGGGCUAAACCAUGCACCGAAGCUGCGGCAGCGGGCGUAUCACCCGGGCACAUUCACUAUAGUGGAUAACGAUUGACGGAGCGCAGCGACGUCAAUGCGCCCAUUAAAGUCGAGUGGGCCUCGGGAUACGUCCGUUGGGUAGGGGAGCGUUCUGUAAGCCGUCGAAGGUGGACCGUGAGGUCUGCUGGAGGUAUCAGAAGUGCGAAUGCUGACAUAAGUAACGAUAAAGCGGGUGAAAAGCCCGCUCGCCGGAAGACCAAGGGUUCCUGUCCAACGUUAAUCGGGGCAGGGUGAGUCGACCCCUAAGGCGAGGCCGAAAGGCGUAGUCGAUGGGAAACGGGUUAAUAUUCCCGUACUGGGUGUUACUGCGAAGGGGGGACGGAGAAGGCUAUGUUGGCCGGGCGACGGUUGUCCCGGUUUAAGCGUGCAGGCUUGAGUUCCAGGCAAAUCCGGAACUCUUUAAGGCUGAGGCGUGAUGACGAGGCACCACGGUGCUGAAGUGACAAAUGCCCUGCUUCCAGGAAAAGCCUCUAAGCAUCAGGUAACAUCGAAUCGUACCCCAAACCGACACAGGUGGUCAGGUAGAGAAUACCAAGGCGCUUGAGAGAACUCGGGUGAAGGAACUAGGCAAAAUGGUGCCGUAACUUCGGGAGAAGGCACGCUGGCGCGUAGGUGAAGCGACUUGCUCGCGGAGCUGAAGCCAGUCGAAGAUACCAGCUGGCUGCAACUGUUUAUUAAAAACACAGCACUGUGCAAACACGAAAGUGGACGUAUACGGUGUGACGCCUGCCCGGUGCCGGAAGGUUAAUUGAUGGGGUUAUCGCGCUGCGAGAAGCUCUUGAUCGAAGCCCCGGUAAACGGCGGCCGUAACUAUAACGGUCCUAAGGUAGCGAAAUUCCUUGUCGGGUAAGUUCCGACCUGCACGAAUGGCGUAAUGAUGGCCAGGCUGUCUCCACCCGAGACUCAGUGAAAUUGAACUCGCUGUGAAGAUGCAGUGUACCCGCGGCAAGACGGAAAGACCCCGUGAACCUUUACUACAGCUUGACACUGAACAUUGAGCCUUGAUGUGUAGGAUAGGUGGGAGGCUUCGAAGCGUGGACGCCAGUCUGCGUGGAGCCAACCUUGAAAUACCACCCUUUAACGUUUGAUGUUCUAACCUGGCGCCGUAAUCCGGCGUGGGGACAGUGUCUGGUGGGUAGUUUGACUGGGGCGGUCUCCUCCUAAAGAGUAACGGAGGAGCACGAAGGUCAGCUAAUCACGGUCGGACAUCGUGAGGUUAGUGCAAUGGCAUAAGCUGGCUUGACUGCGAGAGUGACGGCUCGGGCAGGUGCGAAAGCAGGUCAUAGUGAUCCGGUGGUUCUGAAUGGAAGGGCCAUCGCUCAACGGAUAAAAGGUACUCCGGGGAUAACAGGCUGAUACCGCCCAAGAGUUCAUAUCGACGGCGGUGUUUGGCACCUCGAUGUCGGCUCAUCACAUCCUGGGGCUGAAGUAGGUCCCAAGGGUACGGCUGUUCGCCGUUUAAAGUGGUACGCGAGCUGGGUUUAGAACGUCGUGAGACAGUUCGGUCCCUAUCUGCCGUGGGCGCUGGAAGAUUGAGAGGGGUUGCUCCUAGUACGAGAGGACCGGAGUGAACGCACCGCUGGUGUUCGGGUUGUCAUGCCAAUGGCAUUGCCCGGUAGCUAAGUGCGGAAAAGAUAAGCGCUGAAAGCAUCUAAGCGCGAAACUUGCCUCGAGAUGAAUCUUCCCUGGGUCCUUGAGACCCCUGAAGGGACGUUGAAGACGACGACGUUGAUAGGCCGGGUGUGUAAGCGCAGCGAUGCGUUGAGCUAACCGGUACUAAUGACCCGUGAGGCUUAACCUUACAACGCCAGAAGCGUUCUG